rnacentral:misc_RNA from 1 species
GAAAUGCGAUAAUUAAUGUGAAUUGCAGAAUUCAGUGAAUCAUCGAGUCUUUGAACGCACAUUGCGCCCCCUGGUAUUCCGGGGGGCAUGCCUGUCCGAGCGUCAUUGCUGCCCUCAAGCACGGCUUGUGUGUUGGGCUUCCGUCCCUGGCAACGGGGACGGGCCCAAAAGGCAGUGGCGGCACCAUGUCUGGUCCUCGAGCGUAUGGGGCUUUGUCACCCGCUACCGUAGGUCCAGCUGGCAGCUAGCCUCGCAACCAAUCUUUUUAACCAGGUUGACCUCGGAUCAGGUAGGGAUACCCGCUGAACUUAAGC